UACGUAGGGGGCAAGCGUUGUCCGGAAUUAUUGGGCGUAAAGAGCGUGUAGGCGGCCAGAUAAGUCCGCUGUGAAAUCUCGAGGCUCAACUUCGAGCUGUCGGUGGAAACUAUCUGGCUAGAGUCCGGAAGAGGAGAAUGGAAUUCCUGGUGUAGCGGUGAAAUGCGCAGAUAUCAGGAAGAACACCCGUGGCGAAGGCGGUUCUCUGGGACGGUACUGACGCUGAGACGCGAAAGCCAGGGGAGCGAAUGGG
rnacentral:rRNA from 1 species